rnacentral:rRNA from 1 species
AGUGAACGCUGGCGGUAGGCCUAACACAUGCAAGUCGAACGGAAGCACAGUAAGAGCUUGCUCUGACGGGUGGCGAGUGGCGGACGGGUGAGGAAUACAUCGGAACAUACUUUUUCGUGGCGGAUAACGUAGGGAAACUUACGCUAAUACCGCAUACGACCUACGGGUGAAAGCAGGGGAUCUUCGGAUCUUGCGAGCUUGAGUGAUCCUGUGUCGGAUUUGGUAGUUGGCGGGGUAAAGGCCCACCAAGGCGACGAUCCGUAGCUGGUGUGAGAGGAUGAAGCGCGACACAGGAACUGGGCGGCGGUCCAGGCUCCUAGGGGAGGCAGAAGUGGGGAAUAUUGGACAAAGGGGGCAAGCCUGAUCCAGGGAUACCGGGUGGGUGAAGAGGGCCUUCGGGUUGUAAAGCCGUUUUGUUGGGAAAGACAAGCAUCAGGUGGAAACACGGGUGUUCUGACGGUACCCAAAGAAUAAGCACCGGCUAACUUCGUG